UACGAAGGGGGCUAGCGUUGCUCGGAAUCACUGGGCGUAAAGGGUGCGUAGGCGGGUCUUUAAGUCAGGGUGAAAUCCUGGAAGCUCGAACUCCAGCAACUGCCUUUGAUAACUGAAGAUCUUGAGUUCGGGAGAGGUGAGUGGAACUGCGAGUGUAGAGGUGAAAUUCGUAGAUAUUCGCAAGAACACCAGUGGCGGAAGG
rnacentral:rRNA from 1 species